rnacentral:tRNA from 1 species
GGGGAUGUAGCUCAGUGGUAGAGCCCUUGUCUUGCAUGUGUGAGGCUCUGGGUUCUAUCCCAGCACCA